UUUUUUUUUUUGACGGGACCGAGCUAAUAAAACAAGAAACAAAGAACCGAAAGAAGUGAAUGUCAUUUAAUGGGUCGGCCGGUUCGCUCGUUCAUUGUCCGGUUAGGGGUCCAUCUAUCAAAAAAAGCUUUAUACGACUGCGCCACACCAAGCGAAGGUUAACAGGUUUGGAAGAACUUGUUUUUUCGCAAAAAGAAAACCAUGGAAAAACCGAAAAGAAAAAAAUGGAUAUCAUAAAAAAAGAUGACUGAAAACCAGAAAAAAUAGACCCCAAAUAAUACCAAAACAUGGAAGCACGGUUGUGUUCUUUCAUCUUCUCCAAGAAGCAGAGUUGUGCUUCUAGCGGAAGCAGA
rnacentral:lncRNA from 1 species